ACCGGGCAUCGGGCCCUCGGCAGCUGGCGGUGAGCGGUGGCGGUCGGGAGAGGCGGGGAGGAGUGGGCUGGCAUGGAGGGGGGGGGGACCCGCAGGAAGCCCCGAGGGAUGGGAGGUGCUGAACCCGUGCAGGUGGGUGCUGGGGGCAGAGGGGAUGUGGGGUGAUAGCAGCAAGAGGGAAGGAUGGGGACAGGGCAGCUGCAGCCUGGUGUGCCCCUGCAUGAGGGCUCUUCCCCCCCCCCCCCCCCCCCGCCCCGAGGCCAGAGCAGCACAUAGGGAUCACCCGUGGGCGCUCUGUACCCCAUCCCCAGCAGCUCUGCCUGUGCCUGGGUGGGAUUUGGGGCAGCCCCAUCAGUGGGGGGAACCUACAAUUGUGGCAGCCACAGUGAGCCUGCAGUGCAGGGAGGGACACCCUGAGGUGCUACUCAUCUCCAAAAGCACCCGUUGCCCCCCAGAAAAGCCUGGGGUCCUUUUUGGGGGGGGGGGGGGGGGGGGCGAGGGGGGGUCUCUUAUGGCCACGGGAGAAUGUGUCCCCAGGUGAUGGGAGCACCCCUGGCACAGGGACAGCCCCCAGCCUCCAUCCCCACAAUGACUCAAAGCGGCGCUGUUGUUGUUUUGAAGGCCAACUUCUCCCGCUCACACAUUGGAAUUAGUUUUUCUUCCAAAGAACUUAAAAAUAUCUCAGAUUUCUGACACCGGCUUCCAAGGAGCCGAGUCCAGGGCCAGCCACUGAGGGACAGAGGCCGCCCAGCUCCCGUGCUGCUUGGCCAUAGGAGGACAGAUCUUGUGGGUGAACGGGUGCUGCACAAACACAGCCCUAUGUUGGGUUGCUGGAUGAGAAGCAACACGUGCUCCCGGCCCUCCUGCUGCCAGGAUGGGAUAAGGCUCAUCCUGGGGAGCUGUAUCCCUGCCAAGCCCAACGGUGGAGGAUUUGGAUGCCUCCAUCCUGCUCUCCCCAGGUGGGAUUUCCCCAUGGAGAACACGUGGCCCCAAAGCCCAACUUGUGCCCAAGGCCUCGCAGCUGUGCCACAGGGAGCUCAUGUCAUGGAACUGGAGCGGGCAGCACGUGCCCACAGGACUGGGGCGGGGGGGGGGGGAGGGGAGAACUGGGGGAGAAGGGGUGCUGCUGCCCCCCAGAAGGCAGCACAGCCCCUGGAUGCCCCUCACCGUACGCUAUUGUUACCAUCUGACAGCUCUUGGCGAAACCAUCUUUGUGAUUCAGCCGUGUUUAUCCCAGCCCGCGGCCCGGCCCAGCGUGGGUUUCCAUGGAAAACUUCCAUCGAAAACAAGGAGAAAAGGAGUUACAGCAGGAGUGACUCAGCCACAACUGGAAGCUUCUGCGGAUGAGGCAGAGAAGGGGGGGAAUCUUCCCACCGGCUCGGUCCCAAUCGGGCAGCGGGACCUGGGGACACCCCCGGACACGUCCUGCAGUUCUCUUGUGUGCCCAAAUCCCAGCACACUGCAGGUAGGAGCCAGGCCCAAGGGAGAUGCAUUGUGUAAGAGUCCACGAAACGCAUCACCUUUCAGGAGCACCCCCUCCCCAGCAGACUGCAUCAGGCCCUGCUCACCGCUGGCUGUAGGGGAGGAAGAGUGAGAUGAGUAAGGCUGGAAGGACGCUCACAAGAAGGUAGAGCAUAGAAACUAGACCUGGACCAGCAAAAGGUACGUGGUGUGGGGCUGAGCUGCUGCCGAGGUGGCAGAAGGCAAGCAGAGCUCAGAGCGGUGCUGCCUGGCGUGGGGCAGACAUGGCCAUGCUCGGAGGGGCUGUGGUGGGCAGGAUUCCUGGGGCACCCUCCCCUGACCAGCAGGUGAUGUCUGCAGGAGUCGCUUCCCUCCUCCCAUCACAGCAGGUGCAAAAAACACGUCCCUCCUGCGCUGCUGACGCGGACACCUCAUGCAGAUUAAGGGUCGGGUUUAUUUGUUUUUAUUAUUUUCUUUAAGCUCAGGGAGAAGACACCUGGCGUUUGGUUUUUUUUUUUAUUGUUAAACUCACUGGGAAUGAGAUGCGGGUGCUGGAGUACCAAAAAGCCCCCUGAAUUCAAGCCCACCCGCCCAUCAACCCCCCAGUCUCCCCACCCCCACCUGCCCAAAGGAGCUGUAUGGGAAGGGGCAGGGCCCAUUCUGCUCACUCACCACGCACACACAGGUCCAUCCUUGUUUCCAACGCCAGCGAGCCGCUGCGGUGCCUCCGGCCGGUGCUGCUGCGGGACACGGGGGCGGGGGAAGCGGCUGCGGGACCGCAGUGCAGGCUGGACCGCGGCGAGCAGACAUCACUGCAGUGCCUCCUCCGCGCCGUCCCGCGGUGAUGGGCUGCGCCGGCGAAGCGCCACGGCGAGCUGCAAGCUCGGAAAUAAUUAAACAGCUAACGGCGGGCCGGCCGCGCUGCCUGCUGCUUCUUUUCACAGCGCCUGGAGGCUCAGGUGGGAAAGCAGCGAGACAAAGGCCCUGCUGCUUUGUCAUCACAGGGUUCAGCCUCGCUGUUUCGGCUGCAUCCACCCACCUCCUGCUGCUUUGGCAGGGCAACAGGUGUGUAGAUGCACAGCAGCAUCUCUGCAUCUCCCUGCGUGCUCCUUCCCCACGUCCCUGCAGGCCAAAAGCUGCGUCUUUGUUCCCCAUACCGACCCCCGGCGUCCUCAAUGCAGAGACCAAGGGGUGACAGACACCCCACAGCUCCCCAUCAGCCCAGGAGGCAGCACGGCAGCGCUGCUCCUCAAGCAGCCAGACAGCACCGUGAUGCCGGAGCCCCCACACCCUUCAGUCACCUGGGGGCAACAUCAGUGCAGAUCUGAGCCUCAGGGGAAAGCAGCCUCAUGCUCUUACUGCCGCCUCCAUCAUGCUGCAGCCACAUAACCAGCAACAAACCGGAGAGCAAAACUCACACGAAUUAAAGCUGCUCGCUUUUGCUCGGUUAGAUUUAACCCGCGGCGAUUCCCAGGCGUGUUCACGGCUCACUGAAGGCUGAAAGCGCUUCCGUCUACUGAUCCACUCCCCGUGGUUGCCUGGGGCUCAGAGCCUGCCUGGGGAAGCAUAAGGAGCCCACAGACUCGGGUGAGAUCUUCCCAUCCUGCCCUGUGCCACAGCAGUUCUCUCUCCUCCUGGUGCUCGUGACCCACCAAAGGAUUGCCCAGCACCAUCCUCUGCUCAGCCCCACCCGUGAGACCUCAGUGCAGCAAUGUAGGAGAGCAGCCCUACCUGGCAACAAGAGCAAACUACCACGUUUAGCAUCUACGCUGCACUUCACCACUGAAGAAAACGGGGAUCAGAGACCAUGCUGAAGUCCCUCUGGGCACAGAGUAGAGGCUGCUGUACCCCAGCACUGAAGCCACGUGGCACCCAAGCAGGACGCCCACCAUCAGAGUAACAACACCAGUAUCACAGAUUUCUGUGUGCUUCUGGAAAAUGUAAGACAAAAACCUAGCAACAGUCGAGUUUUUCUUUGCACAUCAGAAGAUAAAACGGAUCUUUCAAUUCA